GCGUACUGACAAUAUGCAUCAAUCUCCAAAGUGUCUGAUCUGAGCUUGUCUCCCGAACUUUGCCCACAUCUGGCUCAAGGGCAAAUGGUAAUUGGAGGUCUGAUUGGGAAACGGUGAAUUUGCUGGUGUUCUGGUGUAAUUCUGUGGUAAUUUCCGACGGGUUAAAUGUUUUCUGUCAGCCGAAGCUAAUAGGAAUGACCGCAACUUGUCAUGUAACACAAAACAGGAGCACAGGUGGUUGUACAUUAUUGCGCAAGGACUCAAGGUCCUUGUAAUACUGUGGAUGUAUCGCAGUCAAAUAGAUGUGUGAGAAGAUGGGCACAUUCAUGCCUAUAGUAUGUCAGAUUAAAUAAGGUUGAUGCCUUCAUGUCCGUCAUAACAAAUAAUGAAAAGAAAGACAUAGUCUGAGAUUAUUUCUCUGGUUUCCUUGAGUUUAAGACAUAUCUUUCCUUACAGUGACACACAAAUCAUAACACUUAACUAAACAAAACCUUAAAUGCUUCACACUAUUUUUUAAUGAGGGCUGCAAAUGGAUUUAUUUGACCAUGCUUUCUCAUCAUGUGGUCAUUGAGCUCUACUCUGAACUGUCACUGUCACAGGGGACAGGGGACAUGUUGUUUUUCCUCUUGUAUUUUGGAACCGAACCUCCAUUAAGUGGUGGGUGGUUUGUAUUUCUAAAGAGUCCUGUGGAGAUGGAAAGAUGUGGGCCAGUGUGCCGGUGCUCGGGGCUGCAGAGCACCCAGUUCCUCUGCUGCCGGGGCCCCGGUACCCCUGCCUGUCUGUGGCUGCCAGCUCCCUGAUAAAAUGAAGUCGCUGACACUCUUUACCCUCAGUUAAAAGGGAGGGGGGAUGAUGUGAGGACGGGCUGUAGGUGUGUAUAAACCCGGAGUGCAUGACUAAUGAGAUGUGUGAAGAGGGGAGUGCUUUUGGGGGAAAUCACUCUGCGGUCUCGGAGGCCCUGGUUCUGGUGCCGGUGGUCCAGCGCUUUGAACUGGUUGCCCUGCCAACAGCCAAUCAGCUGCAGUCUUGUGCCCGUUUUAUCUGUCAGCCAGUCAGAGGCAUGGACUCCCAGAGGAGUUAAGUCUUUUAACCUGUAAAGGAUCAGAGAGUUUGAUAUUCAAAUGUGCACUGGCCUGUGACAAGGUACAUUGUAAAACGCCAUGAAUUCAUUAGUGAGCUGCUGUUUUGGUGGUACAACUUUAAAACAAUGCUGGUGGCUAAGAUAAGCAUUAUUUCUUUAGACCUGAUAAAGUUCUGAACUCCUGAGAAUUUGAAUUUCCUAUAUUCCCAGACCGACUGAGGGCUUACUGGCAAACAUGACGGAUGUUUGGCAUCCCGACGAAGCAGCAGUGAAUCCUUGGAACAGUGGUUAUCUUUCAGGUGCGAGUCUCUUUUGGCACCGCAUCUUUCAGCGCGAUAGAUUUCCCUGCCAGUGAGUAUAGCACCUCUGAAAAGCCUUCAGUGAAAGCCCAGAGAGAUGAGCUCACAGCAUUGUAAUACAUGUGUCAUCUGAGGAAAGGAAGCGAUCUGAGACUGUAACAACACUUCACGUCUGAGCGUUCAGUGCUGGAUGCAAUCUCUCCUGAGAAGUGAUCCUGAAAGCGCACGCAUUUAACAGAAGGAAGUUUUAUGGUUUAUUAGCCUCAACGGCGACUGUUGUUGUGGCCGUGAGCACAGCACUUACUACUAAGUGCCCCUUACGGGGACAUUUGGCAGCCAAUAGUAGAAGACUGGUUCUCCUAAAUACACGUGAAUAUGAGGCAAUGCAUAUAUUCUAACAUUGUAUUCUACCCGUCUUUGAGCUAGAGGGAUGAACACCAUCUCCCACAUGAUAUUCCCUCAUUUGGUGUUUUGAUGAUGUCCAAAAUCUGCCAUAUAGGGGUUCAGUUGUGUAGAUGUCAUAUUCUCAUUCAUUGACCCUGAAUGGGGCUAUUGCUAAAAGGGACCACUCAGAUCAGGUUUUCACUUUAAUUUAUUAUAGCUAUGUGUCACAUCCAGGUGAGUUGCAUGUUUUCUGUGCGUGUGAGAGAAAGUAAACUGCAAGCCAGUGGAAGUCUUUAGAUUUUCGCCACAUUGGUAUUGUUCUUCAUGCUAUCAAUCAUUCGGUGAUCUCAUAUAUUGUCCCCAGACAGCUUCAAAAAAAGAAACAAAAAGAUAAGAGAGUUGCUGAUAUUCCAGUUCAGAUUGUAUCAACACGAGGGCUUUUAAAAGACCAUUCCACUGCUUUUUAAACAUGACAUUAGGUCAUUUGCCAUGAAUCGUCAUCAGAGUUAAUUUGAGUUGGGCUGUGAAACUUCAAGCCUUCAAGGGUGUAAAUAAAUACAUUGAGUUGCAUUAUGAGAAAUCGUUUUUGGAGGAUGACCAUUCAGGAACUAGAAGUCAGGACAUCUUCUUAUUCUUCUUGUGCUUCUGCUGCAUUGACUUUGACCAUGCAGUCUUUAUUAAACGUGUCUUUUGUGAGAACCCAUCUUUACGAAAAGCGACUGCCCCUUUAAAGAAC